rnacentral:rRNA from 1 species
GACGAACGCUGGCGGCGUGCUUAACACAUGCAAGUCGAGCGGAAAGGCCCUUCGGGGUACUCGAGCGGCGAACGGGUGAGUAACACGUGAGUAACCUGCCCCAGACUUUGGGAUAACCCUCGGAAACGGGGGCUAAUACCGGAUACGACACAGCUUCGCAUGGGGUCUGUGGGGAAAGUUUUUCGGUUUGGGAUGGGCUCGCGGCCUAUCAGCUUGUUGGUGGGGUGAUGGCCUACCAAGGCGACGACGGGUAGCCGGCCUGAGAGGGCGACCGGCCACACUGGGACUGAGACACGGCCCAGACUCCUACGGGAGGCAGCAGUGGGGAAUAUUGCACAAUGGGCGGAAGCCUGAUGCAGCGACGCCGCGUGAGGGAUGACGGCCUUCGGGUUGUAAACCUCUUUCAGCAGGGACGAAGCGUGAGUGACGGUACCUGCAGAAGAAGCGCCGGCCAACUACGUG